rnacentral:rRNA from 1 species
AGCGAACGCUGGCGGCAGGCCUAACAGAUGCAAGUCGAACGAACCUUUCGGGGUUAGUGGCGGACGGGUGAGUAACACGUGGGAACGUGCCUUUAGGUUCGGAAUAACUCAGGGAAACUUGUGCUAAUACCGAAUGUGCCCUUCGGGGGAAAGAUUAAUCGCCUUUAGAGCGGCCCGCGUCUGAUUAGCUAGUUGGUUGAGGUAAUGGCUCACCAAGGCGACGAUCAGUAGCUGGUCUGAGAGGAUGAUCAGCCACAUUGGGACUGAGACACGGCCCAAACUCCUACGGGAGGCAGCAGUGGGGAAUCUUGCGCAAUGGGCGAAAGCCUGACGCAGCCAUGCCGCGUGAAUGAUGAAGGUCUUAGGAUUGUAAAAUUCUUUCACCGGGGACGAUAAUGACGGUACCCGGAGAAGAAGCCCCGGCUAACUUCGUG